rnacentral:snoRNA from 1 species
CCUCUCUCAGGAUCACUUCUAGAGAGUUUCCAGUACUCUACCAGUCUUGGCUAUGGCAGGGAGAGUCAAGCAGAGGCAUACCCAAUCCAUUUCUAGCUUGGCCAGUGGCUAGGAAGUGGAAGGCAAUCUGCUACAAGU